AAAUCCUAAUAUGAAAGCAUGAUUAAGCCACUUACAAGUAGUGCACAAAUUAUUUCUAAGCAGGAUUAGGCUUUUAUUUCUUUUUUGGCUAAAAACGGUGAACUCGGAAAAUAUUUGUCUGCAUACACAAACAAAUACAAAUUUAACCUGGAUUUAUUUUUAUUUGAAAGAUGAAUUUACAGGAAGAGAAGAGGUCUUCAAUCAUCUGGUUCACUCAUAAAAUGGCUGCAAAGACUGGAGCUGGGCCAGUCCAGAGCUGGAAGUCUGAAGCUGCUUUUGGGUCACCCUUACGGGUGCUGGGGCCCAAGGAUCUGGGCCAUCUUUCAUUGAUUUUCCAGUUCCAACAGCAGGGAACUGGGUCAGCAAUGGGACAACAAGGACUCGAACCGGUGUCCAUAAGGGAUGCUGGCACUGUAGGCAGAUGCUUAAUGCACUGAGCCAUAAAUCACUGGCCCAAAGAUGUUUGAGUUUUUACAUAAAAGUAUAACAAGGAAGAAACUCUGUUUUUAGACAGUAAUAUUUCCAUUCAUUUAAUAAGUGCUGAUUAAGUGCGUUGCUUGUGAGGACAAAACUCUUCCAAAUGUCUGAAUCCCAGUUUCCACUUUCACACUUCUAGAGCAGAUGUCAUCCAAGAUCCUUACCCUUGGGAUUGGAUAGACGUGGGCUGAGAUGUGUGCCAGACCUCUUACCCAACCUUGAGGACAUAUGUGAGCACUUGGAUUGUUUUAGACCAACUUCUGUAAAUGAAUGUUCUGGAAAACUUGGUUUUCAUUGAAACAACAUGUUACUCGGUGAGCUGCAGUGCUGUAGGUGUAGAACAGCUAGCAGAUGUGGUUCUGGCCUUCGCAAAGUCUAUAUAAAGCUAGUUUUGGGAUUCGAGUUCUUUGUCUUUUUACAUUGUUAACUCCACUACCGUCACUACCAUGGAGAUGUUUUUUAGAAAUAUAAGAUGGCUGAAACUGUCAAAAGAGGUUUAAGGAAGCCCAACAGCAGCAUGGGUAUUUUAGGGAAAUAAGAAAGGGUGGUAAUGUGAGAAACCAUUGAGGGAUGGAGGACAUCCUCUGGGGAUAGGAGAGCCGGUGUUGGGCUUCUUUCUCCAAGCACAUACCACACUGAGCACUGUAGCAGGUUCAGUUUGCGGGUUUCAGGAAAGGACCAGAAUCUCGCAUUGUGAACAGAACUGAAAGAGGCUACCAGCCCCCAGCUUCCUGCUCUCUUUCCCAGUUCCUCUCUGCGGCCACUCCCAACACAGCUCUUUCAGGCAGCUUUUGCUUUUUGCUUUCUUCUUCUUCUUUUUUUUCCCCCAGUGUUGUUGAUUAAAAAACAAAACAACAACAAAACAUUUUUUUUUGAAAGAAUGACAGAGAAAGUAAGAUACCUUCCAUCUCUUGCUUCAUUCUCUCAAUACAGUAACAGCAAGGGCUGGGGCCAGCCCAAGCCAGGAGGGAUGAACUCGGUUUCCCACAUUGCUGGCAGGGACACAGCCACGUCUGCCACUCCCUGGGCGCUUUAACAGCAUGGAUCGCUGGAGCAGAGCAGGAGGCAGGACUUGAGCCCAGGCACUCAGGAAUGUGGGCGUCCCAAGGCAGGCCUUAAACCACUGAGCCACAAACCUGGCCCUUUUGUUUCUUUGUAA